CGUCGGGACGAUAAGGGCGUAGGGUGGAUGCCUAGGCACCAAAUGCCGAUGAAGGACGCUGCAGACGGCGAUACGCCUCGGGGAGCUGUCAAGCAAGCUAUGAUCCGGGGAUAUCCGAAUGGGGAAACCCGGCGUCGUGUUGAGCGACGUCACCACCAGACUUUUUGUUUGGAGGAGGGCACCCGGCGAAGUGAAACAUCUCAGUAGCCGGAGGAAGAGAAAACAAGUUGGACUACGUUUGACUGUUGCGGGUCUCGUGCGCAAGUGCGAGCCCCACGACCGUCAUCCGUGGUCUAAUCAUUCCCCAAGUAGUGGCGAGCGAACGGGGAACAGCCUAAACCACAUGAGAGGAGCCACGCGAAACUCGCGCCUGCCGCAAGGUAGGUUGCGACGAGUAGUGUGACUCGUCCGGGACGGGAGUAUCUCACGUGGGGUUAUCGCGUGAUCGGUUGGGUCCGUCCAGAGACCCAGAUUGGAGACUACACCCGCGAGGGUGAUGACAUUCCUAGUCGAAUCCCCCUGGAACGGGGAGCCAGAGCAGGUGAUAGCCCUGUAGGCGAAAGGAGUCAUGCUCCAGUGCGGUCAUCGCGGAAGUAAGGCGGGACUCGUGAAAUCCCGUUUGAAAUCGGGGCGACUACGCUCCAAGGCUAAAUACAUUUGGUGACCGAUAGUGAACCAGUACCGUGAGGGAAAGGUGAAAAGCAGCCCGGUGAGGGCAACGAAAAGACCUGAAACCCUACGCUUACAAGGAGUGGGAGCUCGGCCGAUGCGCGGCAUCGGGAAUGUCGAUAUAUCGAAAUUUCGAUAUUUCCGCUGCCGCGCAGCGGUGGGUGACCGCGUGCCUAUUGAAGAAUGAGCCAGUGAGUUCGUCGUUGUUGCUUGUCGAAGGCCUACGGGCCGAAGGCAGAGGGAAACCGAGUCUCAAUAGGGCGUCACUCGACAUAUCGAGAUAUCGAAAUUUCGACAUGUCGAGAUGGCAGCGUCAACAAGACCCGAAACCGGGUGAGCUAGCCAUGGGCAGGGUGAAGUUCGAGUAAAAUCGAGCGGAGGCCCGAACCCGUAUGUCGUGCAACGCAUUGGGAUGACCUGUGGCUAGAGGAGAAAUUCCAAUCGAACUCGGUGAUAGCUGGUUCUCCCCGAAAUAGCUUGAGGGCUAGCGCGUUCGUGACCCCUGGGGGUAGAGCACUGAAUGGGGAACGGUGGAGUGAUCCUACGUUUCCCAACCAAACUCCGAAUACCAGGCAAGUUAUACGAGCGUAGUCAGUACGUGGGGGCGAAGCUCCACGGCACAAAAGGGAAACAGCCCAGAUCUCCAGCUAAGGCCCUGAAAUCUCGACUCAGUGGGAAAGGCGGUGGGACGGCGCAGACAACCAGGAGGUUGGCUUAGAAGCAGCCAUCCUUUAAAGAAAGCGUAACAGCUCACUGGUCAAGCUGUUCUGCACCUAAAAUUUAACGGGGCUAAGUCGAGUGCCGAAGCUGAGAAUCGUACCUCGAGCGAUCGAGGUACGGUGGUAGGGGAGCGUUCCCUGCUGCGGUGAAGCCGGACCCGUGAGGGCUGGUGGAGCGCAGGGAAGUGAGAAUGCUGGCAUGAGUAGCGAUAAGGAGAGUGAGAACCUCUCCCACCGUAAACCCAAGGUUUCCUGGGCAACGAAAAUCGACCCAGGGUCAGGCGGACCUAAGGUGAGUCCUCGCGGUAACGUGAGGGGUAGCCGAUGGACAGCAGGCGAACAUUCCUGCCCUCCCCUGCCGUUGUUGUUGGAUGACGCUUCGUCGUAGUGAGCGGGUGUUUUGGCUAUACAUCUGUCUGUCGCCGUAAGGCGGUGGACGCAGGUGAAACCGCAAGGUGGAACCAAUGCUCGUGAAGGCGGAGUCGAGAAAAGUCCAACAGCGUUAACGGCUGGGGAUCCGUACCGGAAACCGACACAGGUGGGUGGGCACAAGUGUGCCAAGGUGUACGGGAGAACCCUCGUGAAGGAACUCGGCAAACUAAUGGCCGUAACUUCGGGAUAAGGCCUGCCCGUCGCAAGACGGGCCGCAGCAAACGACGCCAAGCGACUGUUUACCAAAAACACAGGUCCCUGCGAAAUCGUAAGAUGAUGUAUAGGGGCUGAUGCCUGGCCAGUGUCAGAACGUUAAGGAGAGAGGUGAAAUCCGCAAGGACGUAGCCUUGAACUGAAGCGCUGAUGAACGCCGGCGGUAACCAUAACCGUCCUAAGGUGGAAUCGCUGCCUUAGUGGGGUGGAAGACCCCCUCCGAACUUCGUGUGCCAACGGAGAUGUAGGAGAAAAUCUGGCUAUAUGCUGGAACACCCGCGCAAUGUCACCGUACCCAACGCGGUAACAAUCGGUGACCGAAGCGGGCAAUCAGCAGGAAAGACCUCCGAUGGACAUCGGGGGAAUCCUCAGAGACUAUAUGCCGGACCCGUCACAGCCUCGAGAGGUUGGCGGGAAGAUAGAGUCCGACCUGCAUGGCGACAUGCAGAGCGCGGCAGAAAUGACUGCGCCACCCGUCUGACAGUCACGCGGUGACUCUCGGCGUGGGAGCAACAACUCGAGCGUAAUCCCCUGCCGGGUGAGUUCCGGCCCGCACGAAUGGCACAACGACUUGGCGACUGUCUCCACGAGGGACCCGGCGAAAUUGCAAGGGGCGUGAAGAUGCGCUCUACCCGCGGCUGGACGAAAAGACCCUGUGAAGCUUUACUGCAGCUUGCUCUUGGGUACACACUCCGCUUGUUCAGUGUAGGUGGGAGGACCGUCGCAAGACGGCCCAACAAUGAGACACCACCCUUGCGCUGCGUGUAUUCUAAUCUCAUGCCGUUAUCCGGCGAGAGAGACAGGAGCUGGUAGGCAGUUUGACUGGGGCGGUUGCCUCCUAAAAGGUAACGGAGGCGUUCACAAAGGUCAGCUUAGCGCGGAUGGAAAUCGCGCUGGACCUGCAAGCGGACAAGCUGGCUUUACUGCAAGGCCGACACGCCGAGCAGUCACGAAAGUGGGAGCUAGUGAUCCGACCGUUCGAAGUAGGACGGCGGAAGCUCAUCGGAUAAAAGCUACUCCAGGGAUAACAGGCUGAUCUGGCCCGAGCGUCCACAGCGACGGCUAGGUUUGGCACCUCAAUAUCGGGGUGCUGCAGGAGUAAUCCUGCACGCCAGCGGGUAUAAGCUCACCCGCAACUACCGACUCAUAACGGCGGAGUCUCUUCGGAGAUAAUGCCGUGGGAAGUCGUCCUCACAAUAAGGAUUGACCCCGUAACGACUAGCGCAAAUGCGCUGACUGUCCAAUCUUCUCGAAUCUUCGAGAAAAACCACGGACAGUAAUACGUCGGCUCCCGUACAAAGCGGGAUGAAGGCAUAGUCUAGACUUCUGGUGACAGAAGAAUAAUUCCGACAGCGAUGUCGGCUCGUCACAGCGUGGGGGUGAAGAAGCUCCCAAGCGUUGGGCUGUUCGCCCAUUAAAGUGGCACGUGAGCUGGGUUCAAACCGUCGUGAGACAGGUUGGUCUCCUAUCUACUGCAGGCGCAGAGACUUGAGAGGAGUCUUCUCUAGUAAACAAAAUUGCUACUGUAGCCAGUAAUGGCUACUGACAAUUCGGCUAAUAAC
rnacentral:rRNA from 1 species